rnacentral:rRNA from 1 species
GUCGUCUCAGGGUAAGUCGGGACCUAAGCCGAGGCACAGACGCAUAGGCGAUGGACAACAGGUUGAAAUUCCUGUACCGGAUGGAGUCAUUUGAGCAAUGGAGUGACGCAGGAGGGCACAUGAUCGCGCGACUGGAAGAGCGCGUCCAAGUGCGUAUGUUGAAUCGGAGGCAAAUCCCCGAUUCUGAAAGCAGAGACAUGAUGGGGAGUUAUAAGCGAUUAUGACGAACUCAUGGAUCCCACACUGCCAAGAAAAACUUCUAGCGAGACGAAAUCCGCCCGUACCGUAAACCGACACAGGUAGGCGGGGAGAGAAUCCUAAGGUGCGCGGGAAAACCCUCGUUAAGGAACUCGGCAAAUUGCAUCCGUAACUUCGGGAGAAGGAUGGCCCUGAGUAGGCGAAGUGCAGAAACGCACGGAACAGAAAAGGGUGGCAGAAAAGAGGCCCAAGCAACUGUUUACCAAAAACACAGGUGCCUGCGAAAGCGAAAGCUGAAGUAUAGGUGCUGACGCCUGCCCGGUGCUGGAAGGUUAAGGAGAGAGGUUAGCGCAAGCGAAGCUUUGAACUGAAGCCCCAGUGAACGGCGGCCGUAACUAUAACGGUCCUAAGGUAGCGAAAUUCCUUGUCGGGUAAGUUCCGACCCGCAUGAAAGGCGUAAUGAUUUGGGCGCUGUCUCAACGAGGGGCCCGGUGAAAUUGAAAUACCUGUGAAGAUGCAGGUUACCCGCGACUGGACAGAAAGACCCCAUGGAGCUUUACUGCAGCUUGAGAUUGAAUCCCGGUGGCAGACGCACAGGAUAGGUGGGAGGCUUUGAGAUAGUGACUUUGGUUGCUAUGGAGCCGACGUUGGGAUACCACCCUUCUGUUGCUGGGAUUCUAACGCGAAGAUUAACAACCUUGCGGACCAUCUCAGGUAGGCGGUUUGACUGGGGCGGUCGCCUCCGAAAGAGUAACGGAGGCGCCCAAAGGUUCCCUCAGGCCGGACAGAAACCGGCCGAAGAGUGCAAAGGCAGAAGGGAGCUUGACUGCGAGACAGACAAGUCGAGCAGAGACGAAAGUCGGGCUUAGUGAUCCGGUGGUACUGCGUGGAAAGGCCAUCGCUCAACGGAUAAAAGCUACCCUGGGGAUAACAGGCUAAUCUCUCCCAAGAGUUCAUAUCGACGGGGAGGUUUGGCACCUCGAUGUCGGCUCAUCACAUCCUGGAGCUGGAGUAGGUUCCAAGGGUUGGGCUGUUCGCCCAUUAAAGUGGUACGCGAGCUGGGUUCAAAACGUCGUGAGACAGUUUGGUUCAUAUCCAUCGCGGGCGCAAGAAGUUUGAGGGAGGCUGCUCCUAGUACGAGAGGACCGGAGUGGACGGAUCAACGGUGUACCAGUUGUCACGCCAGUGGCACGGCUGGAAAGCCGCAUCCGGAAAGGAUAAACGCUGAAAGCAUCUAAGCGUGAAGCCCGUCCCAAGAUGAGACUUCUCAUCAGCAAUGAGUAAGACCCCUUAAAGACGAUGAGGUUGAUAGGCUGUGAGUGGAAGAGCCGCGAGGCUUGGAGCGACGCAGUACUAAUAGGUCGAGGUCUUAACUUA